ensembl:lncRNA
CCUCCCCCAACACACACACAACUUCGGGAUGAAUUACUUAAGAUGCCUCUUCUGUGUCAAUCAAUGAGGGACUCCCAGGCACCUCCAUUCAGCAGUAGUCAGUGAAGGACUUGUGUUUGAUGAUGGCCCGAGCGAUCGAGACCGUCACCGUCCAGAUGUUACAUGGCGAAUUUAAUCUUCCCGCAGGCUGCGAGGUAAGGACGCUGCAGCAGGGACCGUGAGGUUCUCGUGUCAGGUGGCGGGCAAGAAGCGCCUCCUCCCAGAGGAAGAACACUCUCGGGUCAUCUGUGCACCUGUAAGGACCACACAAGGUCUGGCCGCCCGCCCCGGCCAGCCCAGGACCAGCCGCUUAGAGGACCUUGCCUUCUGCACCGAGCCGUCCAGAGCGGGGUGCCUGGUGACCCUUUGCUCGAAGCCCAGGGCCACAUUUUACAGCACUGGGGGAUGGCUAGAGGGCAGAGAAGCGGCCGGGGUCACGGCGCCACAUCACCACAUGUCCAGGGAGAGGGCUCCCCGGGCUGGGGCCUGCCGGGUCAUGAGGUUUGGCAGCCAGAGAGCACAGAAGGGUCUUCCUGCCUCCCUUGGUGGGUCUGACCUCCACCAAUGGGGAAGAUUUGGAAAGGGUCAGGGCACCCCCCGUCCUGCCCUGUGGAGCCACACGAGACGCGUGCCUCCAAGUGGGGACAGCAAAGGGGAGGACGCAUGGGGCAAAGUUGCAGUCUCAUUUCUCAGCAGAGUUAGCUAGUUACUCCCCGGAAAUGGAGACUGGUUGAAGAGGCCCCACCUCCCCAUACGUCAGGCCUGUUCCUUCGCUUGAAAAGGGUCUUUUAAGAAAGGCCAUAAACCUCGAAACAGGGUCAGCUCUGCCCGAUGUUGACCAACGAGAAGGCAGCUGGGCGGGGCAGGACUCUCUGACCCUGAGCCGCACAGAGGGGCGGUCACGGCCGCCCCCCCACCCAACCCCCUGCAGGGUUCUCAGAGCUCAGACCGGCGAUGGGACCCGGGCUCAGCUUUGCGGAGAACCCCCAGAGGCAAAGGGCAGCGAGGGAGGCAAAGUGUCCCCCUCCCACGCCUGAUAAAAAGUUGAAAAAAUGUAUGUGAAUUUUGCUUUCUCUGCCAUUCUAUAGCCUCGCUAAUUUCGAUUUUUUUUCCCUUAAAUUACAUACCAUUAUCGAGUGUAGAUCAGUGUAACCUUUUCAGAAGCAAUGUUUCAAAUGCCCUUGCGCUAGGUUCCUGCUGAAAUGGAUGUAGUGUUCGGGGCCUUUUUUUUUUUUUUUUUCCCCCGCGCACUAUUUGUAAUUAUAAAAAAUUGCAGCGACCUCUUUGUCCGUCAUUAGAGAAAGUGCCGGGUGAAACAUGGUGACAUCCAUUUGAGGAAUACUAUUUACUAUUCGGUUGACAGAAUGAAGCCGAGUGGCGGGUACGGGCCUGGGGAAGCACCGAGCGGACUGUCGAGAGCAAAGACAAGUUGAAGAAUUGCACGGGAUGGAUGGUCCCAUCUGUUAAAGAAACGCGCGUAUGUACAGAUUUAGUUAAAUGACUGUAUAUGCCUAAAAAUAUUUGGAAGGAGUCACAGCAACCAGUUGAUUGCUUUUGGGGAACGUGCAUUCUUCUGUGUUCGAAUCCGGUACCACGAGCCGGUACCAUUUCUGUCACAUAAAAGUAGGGAUUAGAAACAAAUUACUCACCUUCGGGUACAAUCAUAGCCCGGGGAGGAGUGCCCCCGACCUGCCCUGUGGGUUCCG